GGAGCGUCAAGAGUUGGACGGCUGCCAAAAGAGGCCGGCCCGCCGUGCAGCUGAAACUUUUACAAGCCAAGCAGGAAGAGACACAGGGAGCGAUCAAAGAAGAAAAGGAGCAAAAGAAAAAGGCUGAGUGUGAGCAGACGUCCCUCUGUCACCCCUGUGUGCCGACAGACGCACUCACGCCAGUAGGAGGGGAUUGUGGGAAAGGGGUGUAGCACUCAGAGGGUGUGCUCUACUCCUCUCUUUUCCCUUCUUCCCGCCAUCACGGCCCUCUUCUCCUCCAGUCCUCCGGCCCAGCCCGCCGCUCAUGUUCAAGCUCCAGGAGCGUUACCUUUGUGGAUCUUUGGUGCUGAAGCAACGUGGAUGCUGUCCUUGGGGCUGAGGUAGUAGAUUGAAUAGUUGUGGGGUUGUGUAACCUCUUUGAGAUAACUAUACAAUCUACUGUCUUUCCCAAGGAGACAGCAAAGUCAGCUGCUCGCCGACUGUCGUCUCCAAUCAGGCAACAUGCUGUCCAAUCAAAACAUACGCUUGCAGCCAUCAACAUAAUCCGCUCUGACAAGAAUUGUUGUUUGUUCUUUUUUCAAUUCUAGAGCAGCGAAAUAAGGACGUCUUGUUCACCAAAUGGAUGUGAACGUGUGGCGUGUUUGUUUUGGGCUCUCUCAGGGUGAGGUAGUAGGUUGUAUAGUUUGGUGGGUGGGAUAGCAACCUGCUCAGGUGAUAACUAUACAGUCUAUUGCCUUCCCGGAGGAGCUCACUGAACACUCAUGAAUGUUCGACACGCUCUCAUGGCCGGGUUUCACCUUUAAUCGUAGAAGCAGAAAUGUAGUAAUGCAUUUAAAAUGUGGACAUCCGAAUAAAGUCACACUUGUCUCAAAUUUGUCCAACAAUAAAUGACUGACAUCUGAAAUUGUUGCUCUCCUAAUGUCAUUUUGUCAUCUUGGUUUGUGUACAACAGCAGCUAAUAAGUUGUUAGUUUAGAGCACCCUCUAAUGGAGACUCAUGAUACAGCUUUGAUUAGAUGAAGUUUGCAGACAAGGGACAACUAAAUGCAAUGGCGGACUAAAUUUAAAGUAUUUAAAGUUAAAGUUUCAUUCAAACAGAACACUGCAAUUUGGAGUCUGACAUUUUAAAAAACUCCGCUGCCUAUAUUCUUCUCAGCUGGUCAUUUGUAAUAAAGACUUUUUAACACAGUUA